rnacentral:miRNA from 1 species
UGCUAGGAAUGGUGGCUGAGAU